ensembl:snRNA U6 U6 spliceosomal RNA
CUGCUUUUAGUAGCACAUAUACUAAGAUUGUAACCAUAUAGAGAUUAGCAUGGCUCCUGAUCUAGGAUGUCAUACAAAUUUGUGAAGCAUUGCAUAUUUUU